UACGAGUGCCCCGAGCGUUAUCCGGAAUUAUUGGGCGUAAAGGGUGUGUAGGUGGCAGCGUUAGUCGUCUGUUAAAGCCUGGGGCUCAACCUCAGUCAUGCGGACGAAACGGCACAGCUAGAGGAUGGCAGGGAUGUAUGGAACUCAUGGAGUAGGGGUGAAAUCCGUUGAUAUCAUGGGGAACACCGAAAGCGAAAGCAGUACAUUGGGCCACUCCUGACACUGAAACACGAAAGCGUGGGUAGCGAAUGGG
rnacentral:rRNA from 1 species